GGGCUCUCUUUGCAAGAGAUGUUAUUCUUAUCAGCUGCCUCAUGAUCUAUUUUUAUUUCUCCCGCAACUUGUUAAAUACUCCCGGGAGCUGAUGGGGUGAAUGAAGCCUCCACUUUGAUUGAAUUUCUAUGUUUUCAGUUUUAUUAUUUCAAGACACAGUUAAAGGAAGGGACUCUUAGGGGCCUCUUUCUAGAAGGGAGCUCAGCAGUGAGUGCUGCUGGGAGGGGCUGGGGAAGGAGCAUCACCCUGGCUCCCAGCUCCCUGUUAUUUGGUCUCAGAAAAAAGACAAUAAGCUGGUAGGGACACCUUGGAGCUUUGCUUCGGAAGUGCGACUGAGAGUGAAGAGAGCUAAGGGAGACUUUCUGAGAAUUGCCAACGUGGCUCUCCAGAGUGUCUGAAACUGCCCUGCUCACCCCAAAAGCAGACUGAAUCAUAGGAUCUGAGAGAUCUGAUGGGGCUGUGGGGAUGGCUUUGUCCGAGCUCUCUCCAGGUAAUGUAGUGCAGGUGUAAAGAGCAAAUGAUCUGAAGAUGGAAAUCCCUGGAUUGAAAUGAUGCCUCCAUAUUUACCAUGAUAUACUCUUAGGUCAGUUGUUCAACAUUGCUAAGAAGAGCUUUGGUUUCCUUAUCUGCAAAAUGGGAAUACAAAUAUGUGAUUAAGAGACCACACAUGAGAAGCACUCAGCACAGGUAUCUGGCACCCUUCUUCACACCCAGCACUUAAAGCUCAGUUCAUGUCAACCUAGACUUGAACCCAGAUUAGGGGGCAAACAACCUCAUCAGAGCGCUUUGUGUCUUCAUCAGCUAAGCUGGGCCCAGAUGCACUCAGGAACCUAGCAGAGCUCCUUCUGGUUGACUUGGCACCGCAGGAAAACAACGGUGUUGAACACUUCUUUCCCCCAAAGGCUGCAGACACUGCCUUUCACAAUGCGGAGCAGACACCACACAUUCAGACAAGUUCCUAAUUAAUGACGCAUAAUCAGUGUCUUUCAAAUGUGCAUUUGUUAUUCUCUGUCCAACUAAUUAACUGCACUGAACAUUCCAUGGUUGAAGCUGGAGCAUGGGUUAUCUGAAAAGCCCGUUAGAACCAGCCCAGGGUCAGAGCUCAGAAGAUGCAAAAGUUCUGACCAGGUUACCACUGGGCUGACGGAGUCUUAACAUCCCUACUUUCCCUCUCUAAAGCUCUCUGUAAGUAGGACCACAGACACUUUCUACCUCUUAAGGUUAUUAUAACCGGGGCACUCAUGAUCAUCUAAGGGAAAGUGCUGUGAAAGGUGUAGGGAGCUACAGAAAUGCACGUGACGAUCACUCCUGGCAAUCGCUGUAAGGUGGGCAAUCUUUUCUAGGUGGGAAGGGUCAUCAACCUUAGGCAAAAAUGAUGUGUAUAUGUGCCUUCGAAGGUGUAGGCUUUGCACGUAAAAGCUCAUGUGAUCCUCAUGACCACCCAUACCCAUGAGGAAAAUAAAACUCCUUUGAGGAGCUCCGAAGGGGCUCACCCAGAUUCUGAAUGGCUGCGUCACAACAUGAAUCCGGGUUGAUCUGAUUCAGAAAACCCAGGAUUCAUUCUCCUUCCUCUCCCAUGCAAAAUAUAAUGUUCCUUGUAUAGCUCCUCUCAGACAGCUCCACCCUUUCUUUUCCAUUUCCUUCUCAUCCCUCCCCCUCUACCUCACC
rnacentral:lncRNA from 1 species